rnacentral:lncRNA from 1 species
CGUCUCUGUAAGUAGGUAUGGGUACAAGUUGUGCGUCUCCCAACUCCAUGGAGCUGUUUAGAAUCCCAGCACUGGAGUCCUCUCAGCUACCCAAACUGAGAUUUUCCYUCUGUGAAUAUUGUUGAGCUCUUUCCGAGCAAGACCAAAGGGCCUCUUUUUGCCUAUGAAGUCUCUGUCAGACCUGCGAGUAUUUCUGCAGAAAACCAGUUCCUGCCCUUCCUGGCUCAUGACCACUCGUUCCUGCUCCCAAACCUUAGUUUACUGCUCCAUCAGUUGUGCCAAUGUAAAGUUGCCUUGAAGUGGACCGGUUCUGGCCUGAAGAUCCUAUGGCUUCCUUACCAUGGCUCUGAGCCUGAGUUAAGCUGUGCUGAGCAAGCGCAUAUGUCUCUACACCAGAACUACUUCAGACGACAGGAAAAAGGAUAUGUCCUCUGGGGAAGGCUGAACACCUCCUUUGUGAUAGCUACAAAUGCUUUGUUUUAAAUUGGAACUAUGAAU